rnacentral:rRNA from 1 species
UACGAGUCUCACGAACGUUAUUCGGAAUUACUGGGCUUAAAGGGUGCGUAGGCGGUGAAGUAAGUCGGGUGUGAAAUGUCAUAGCUUAACUAUGGAACUGCACUCGAUACUAUUUUGCUAGAGUAAGACAGAGGUGAGUGGAACUGAGGGUGGAGCGGUGAAAUGCGUUGAUAUCCUCAGGAACACCGGUGGCGAAGGCGACUCACUGGGUCUUUACUGACGCUGAUGCACGAAAGCUAGGGUAGCAAACGGG